rnacentral:rRNA from 1 species
GUGCCAGCCGCCGCGGUAAUACCGGCAGCCCAAGUGAUGGCCGAUCUUAUUGGGCCUAAAGCGUCCGUAGCUGGCUGCGCAAGUCCGUCGGGAAAUCCACUCGCCCAACGAGUGGGCGUCCAGCGGAAACUGUCCGGCUUGGGGCCGAACGACCCGAGGGGUACGUCCGGGGUAGGAGUGAAAUCCCAUAAUCCCGCACGGACCACCGAUGGCGAAAGCACUUCGAGAAAACGGAUCCGACAGUGAGGGACGAAAGCCAGGGUCUCCAACCGGAUUAGAAACCCCGGUAGUCC